UGCCAGCCGCCGCGGUAAUACGGAGGGUGCGAGCGUUAAUCGGAAUGACUGGGCGUAAAGCGCGCGUAGGUGGUUUGUUAAGUUGGAUGUGAAAGCCCUGGGCUCAACCUGGGAACUGCAUCCAAAACUGGCAGGCUAGAGUACAGUAGAGGGGGGUAGAAUUUCAGGUGUAGCGGUGAAAUGCGUAGAGAUCUGAAGGAAUACCAGUGGCGAAGGCGGCCCCCUGGACUGAUACUGACACUGAUGUGCGAAAGCGUGGGUAGCGAACAGGAUUAGAUA
rnacentral:rRNA from 1 species